rnacentral:tRNA from 2 species
GGCUUCAUAGUCUAGAGGUACGAUACUUGCUUUGGGUGCAAGUGGCCCGGGUUCGAUUCCCGGUGAAGCCC